AAAAUGAGAGAAAGAGAAAAAGAAAAGAAAAAAAAAUGGCACAAAAUUCUCCUAAAUAGUGUAAUGUUAGCCUAAAGAGUGUAAAAUUCAUUCCAAAAGAGUGUAAUUUUUAUGUCAAAUAGUGUAAUUUUUAUUAAAAUAGUGCAAAUUUAUUUUAAAACAGUGUAAUCUUAUUUUAAUAAUACAAUUUCAUCUUCUUUUUACUUCUUAUAUAAUUUUUUGUCUUUAUUUUUUUCUUCUCCCUUCUUCUAUAAUUUUUUUUUUGUCACAUCUUUCCGCCAACGGCCACGACGCUAGUGAUGACGCCGCUAAAGACCGCCCGCUCUUAGGCUGCGGCACCGCAGCGACCUCUGCAACGCCGAUAUCGGCGGAGAGGCGUCGUCGUCGGAUGCGGCGGAGAAGGCAAAGGAGGAGGGAGAGGGAAAAGGUGAGAAGGGCGAGAGAGGGUGAGAUAGGCAUCGUUGUUGGAGGAGGGUCGGAGAGGGGGAAAAAAAUGUCGCAGCGCGGUCUUAGCGGGGUCGGAGGCGAGGAAAGCGGGAGGUGCGCGAGCGAGGGUAAGAAUGCACCGAACAAAAUCGAAG
rnacentral:lncRNA from 1 species